rnacentral:rRNA from 1 species
AAGCGCUUGCGAUCAGACUCACCUGCGGUUGAUCAACGUUCCUUCUGGUUCGUGCACUCUGCCGUUUGUGGGCCAGCAUCGGUCGGCGCGGCGGGACAAAGGCAUCGGGAAUGUGGCUCUCUUCGGGGAGUGUUAUAGCCCGUUGUGCAAUGCCGCCAGCUGCCGGCCGAGGUCCGCGAUUCGUCUAGGAUGCUGGCUUAAUGGUCGUAAGCGA